rnacentral:rRNA from 1 species
UGCAGUCGAGCGAAUGGAUUAAGAGCUUGCUCUUAUGAAGUUAGCGGCGGACGGGUGAGUAACACGUGGGUAACCUGCCCAUAAGACUGGGAUAACUCCGGGAAACCGGGGCUAAUACCGGAUAACAUUUUGAACUGCAUGGUUCGAAAUUGAAAGGCGGCUUCGGCUGUCACUUAUGGAUGGACCCGCGUCGCAUUAGCUAGUUGGUGAGGUAACGGCUCACCAAGGCAACGAUGCGUAGCCGACCUGAGAGGGUGAUCGGCCACACUGGGACUGAGACACGGCCCAGACUCCUACGGGAGGCAGCAGUAGGGAAUCUUCCGCAAUGGACGAAAGUCUGACGGAGCAACGCCGCGUGAGUGAUGAAGGCUUUCGGGUCGUAAAACUCUGUUGUUAGGGAAGAACAAGUGCUAGUUGAAUAAGCUGGCACCUUGACGGUACCUAACCAGAAAGCCACGGCUAACUACGUGCCAGC